rnacentral:rRNA from 1 species
GACGAACGCUGGCGGCGUGCUUAACACAUGCAAGUCGAACGAAGAGCGAUGGAAGCUUGCUUCUAUCAAUCUUAGUGGCGAACGGGUGAGUAACGCGUAAUCAACCUGCCCUUCAGAGGGGGACCACAGUUGGAAACGACUUCUAAUACCGCAUACGAUCUAAUCUCGGCAUCGAGGAUAGAUGAAAGGUGGCCUCUACAUGUAAGCUAUCACUGAAGGAGGGGAUUGCGUCUGAUUAGCUAGUUGGAGGGGUAAGGGCCCACCAAGGCGAUGAUCAGUAGCCGGUCUGAGAGGAUGGACGGCCACAUUGGGACUGAGACACGGCCCAGACUCCUACGGGAGGCAGCAGUGGGGAAUCUUCCGCAAUGGACGAAAGUCUGACGGGGCAACGCCGCGUGAGUGAUGACGGCCUUCGGGUUGGAAAGCUCUGUUAAUCGGGACGAAAGGCCUUCUUGCGAAUAGUGAGAAGGAUUGACGGUACCGGAAUAGAAAGCCACGGCUAACUACGUG